GCCGUUUAAGGUUAAUCUAUUAUUUCUUCAAAUACCAACAAUAUAUAACCAUACCAUCACCAUGCAUCUAUCUAUAUAUAUUAAAAAUAAAUAAAUACAUAUAUAACAACUAUAUCAAAAUAGAAUGUCUCUCUUGCUAUACAUUUCUAGUAAGAAAAAGGAACCCUUUCUUCCCCACCUUAAUACAAAAACAAGAAAAAAAAUAACAAAAAAAAAAAAAAAAAAAAUGAUUAAGGCUAUAAGGAUAUUGAUGAUGAUGACAUAACAGCAAACUUAACAAACUCUCACUUAGGACAAAGUAGUAUUAAUUGAUAUAAACUAAAACUAUAUAACGAUAAUAAACAGGACAAAUUUUGUAAUAAAUUCACCGUUACAAUUCCUCUUCCCGUCGUCUUCUUCAAUAAUAUUUCUGGUGCAGCCUUAAAUUCUCCAUUUUUUUCCAUGAAACGUAAUUAUUAUAAUUAUGACGAAUUACCUGUUUGAUAUAGGGUUUGGUCCACUAGGAACUUCAUGAGCCUCUGCGCCGAAGUUGAAGUUCUUCGAUUUUGAUGGAAACGAAGAAGAUGCACGUGGCUUUUGCGUUUGAGUCACGUGCAAAUUGUUCAUGGUAGUAGUAGAAGCAGCAGCAGUAGCAGAGGUUGAUGAUGAUUCUGA